rnacentral:rRNA from 1 species
GUGUCAGCCGCCGCGGUAAUACAGAGGGGGCAAGCGUUGUUCGGAAUUACUGGGCGUAAAGGGCGCGUAGGCGGCCCGCUAAGUCGAACGUGAAAUCCCCGAGCUCAACUCGGGAACUGCGUCCGAUACUGGUGGGCUUGAAUCCGGGAGAGGGAUGCGGAAUUCCAGGUGUAGCGGUGAAAUGCGUAGAUAUCUGGAGGAACACCGGUGGCGAAGGCGGCAUCCUGGACCGGCAUUGACGCUGAGGCGCGAAAGCUAGGGGAGCAAACGGGAUUAGAUACCCUCGUAGUCC